rnacentral:rRNA from 1 species
GGGUUGUGAGGUUAAGCGACUAAGCGUACACGGUGGAUGCCCUGGCAGUCAGAGGCGAUGAAGGACGUGCUAAUCUGCGAAAAGCGUCGGUAAGGUGAUAUGAACCGUUAUAACCGGCGAUGUCCGAAUGGGGAAACCCAGUGCAAUUCGUUGCACUAUCGUUAACUGAAUACAUAGGUUAACGAGGCGAACCGGGGGAACUGAAACAUCUAAGUACCCCGAGGAAAAGAAAUCAACCGAGAUUCCCCCAGUAGCGGCGAGCGAACGGGGAGCAGCCCAGAGUCUGAAUCAGCUUGUGUGUUAGUGGAACGGUCUGGAAAGUCCGACGGUACAGGGUGAUAGUCCCGUACACCAAAAUGCACAGGCUGUGAACUCGAAGAGUAGGGCGGGACACGUGGUAUCCUGUCUGAAUAUGGGGGGACCAUCCUCCAAGGCUAAAUACUCCUGACUGACCGAUAGUGAACCAGUACCGUGAGGGAAAGGCGAAAAGAACCCCGGCGAGGGGAGUGAAAAAGAACCUGAAACCGUGUACGUACAAGCAGUGGGAGCACCUUCGGGUGUGACUGCGUACCUUUUGUAUAAUGGGUCAGCGACUUAUAUUCUGUAGCAAGGUUAACCGUAUAGGGGAGCCGCAGGGAAACCGAGUCUUAACUGGGCGUUAAGUUGCAGGGUAUAGACCCGAAACCCGGUGAUCUAGCCAUGGGCAGGUUGAAGGUUGGGUAACACUAACUGGAGGACCGAACCGACUAAUGUUGAAAAAUUAGCGGAUGACUUGUGGCUGGGGGUGAAAGGCCAAUCAAACCGGGAGAUAGCUGGUUCUCCCCGAAAGCUAUUUAGGUAGCGCCUCGUGAAUUCAUCUUCGGGGGUAGAGCACUGUUUCGGCUAGGGGGUCAUCCCGACUUACCAACCCGAUGCAAACUACGAAUACCGAAGAAUGUUAUCACGGGAGACACACGGCGGGUGCUAACGUCCGUCGUGAAGAGGGAAACAACCCAGACCGCCAGCUAAGGUCCCAAAGUCAUGGUUAAGUGGGAAACGAUGUGGGAAGGCACAGACAGCCAGGAUGUUGGCUUAGAAGCAGCCAUCAUUUAAAGAAAGCGUAAUAGCUCACUGGUCGAGUCGGCCUGCGCGGAAGAUGUAACGGGGCUAAACCAUGCACCGAAGCUGCGGCAGCGACACUAUGUGUUGUUGGGUAGGGGAGCGUUCUGUAAGCCUGCGAAGGUGUGCUGUGAGGCAUGCUGGAGGUAUCAGAAGUGCGAAUGCUGACAUAAGUAACGAUAAAGCGGGUGAAAAGCCCGCUCGCCGGAAGACCAAGGGUUCCUGUCCAACGUUAAUCGGGGCAGGGUGAGUCGACCCCUAAGGCGAGGCCGAAAGGCGUAGUCGAUGGGAAACAGGUUAAUAUUCCUGUACUUGGUGUUACUGCGAAGGGGGGACGGAGAAGGCUAUGUUAGCCGGGCGACGGUUGUCCCGGUUUAAGCAUGUAGGCUGAUUGUCCAGGCAAAUCCGGAUAAUCAAGGCUGAGGUGUGAUGACGAGGCACUACGGUGCUGAAGUAACAAAUGCCCUGCUUCCAGGAAAAGCCUCUAAGCAUCAGGUAACAUCAAAUCGUACCCCAAACCGACACAGGUGGUCAGGUAGAGAAUACCAAGGCGCUUGAGAGAACUCGGGUGAAGGAACUAGGCAAAAUGGUGCCGUAACUUCGGGAGAAGGCACGCUGGUGUGUAGGUGAAGUCCCUGCGGAUGGAGCUGAGACCAGUCGAAGAUACCAGCUGGCUGCAACUGUUUAUUAAAAACACAGCACUGUGCAAACACGAAAGUGGACGUAUACGGUGUGACGCCUGCCCGGUGCCGGAAGGUUAAUUGAUGGGGUUAUCCGUAAGGAGAAGCUCUUGAUCGAAGCCCCGGUAAACGGCGGCCGUAACUAUAACGGUCCUAAGGUAGCGAAAUUCCUUGUCGGGUAAGUUCCGACCUGCACGAAUGGCGUAAUGAUGGCCAGGCUGUCUCCACCCGAGACUCAGUGAAAUUGAACUCGCUGUGAAGAUGCAGUGUACCCGCGGCAAGACGGAAAGACCCCGUGAACCUUUACUAUAGCUUGACACUGAACAUUGAGCCUUGAUGUGUAGGAUAGGUGGGAGGCUUUGAAGCGUGGACGCCAGUCUGCGUGGAGCCAACCUUGAAAUACCACCCUUUAAUGUUUGAUGUUCUAACGUUGGCCCCUGACCGGGGUUGCGGACAGUGUCUGGUGGGUAGUUUGACUGGGGCGGUCUCCUCCCAAAGCGUAACGGAGGAGCACGAAGGUUAGCUAAUCCUGGUCGGACAUCAGGAGGUUAGUGCAAUGGCAUAAGCUAGCUUGACUGCGAGCGUGACGGCGCGAGCAGGUGCGAAAGCAGGUCAUAGUGAUCCGGUGGUUCUGAAUGGAAGGGCCAUCGCUCAACGGAUAAAAGGUACUCCGGGGAUAACAGGCUGAUACCGCCCAAGAGUUCAUAUCGACGGCGGUGUUUGGCACCUCGAUGUCGGCUCAUCACAUCCUGGGGCUGAAGUAGGUCCCAAGGGUAUGGCUGUUCGCCAUUUAAAGUGGUACGCGAGCUGGGUUUAGAACGUCGUGAGACAGUUCGGUCCCUAUCUGCCGUGGGCGCUGGAGAAUUGAGGGGGGCUGCUCCUAGUACGAGAGGACCGGAGUGGACGCAUCACUGGUGUUCGGGUUGUCAUGCCAAUGGCACUGCCCGGUAGCUAAAUGCGGAAGAGAUAAGUGCUGAAAGCAUCUAAGCACGAAACUUGCCCC